CGAUACUUCGGCCGAAGAUUCCCGAAUCAUAUCUUAGAGUAUUCUUCCUCUCUUAUCGAAGAUUAGAGAUCCCUUGUUGCGCAUACACUUGAUGAUGUCUCUUUAUUGUGUUCGAAUACUUUGAUGAGACCUUGAUUCCAUGGCUUGAGCUAUCGCCCCAUUCCGUCGUAGUAUCCUACUAACGACCUUAUGGUUUGGAUUCAAUCAUUGGUUUUAAAAGAACCCCUUCCAUUCAAAACACCUUUUGAAGCAGUUUCUAAAACUAUAUAUCGACAUAUAUUUCGUUUGUAUACUUUAUACAAACUUUGCUCCAACAUUGAGACCAUUGUAGUACAAUACUAACAAUUCAUUUAUAUGAUUAGUACUUCAUCCAAUAUGAAGUUCCAUUUGUUAAAAUGGGUUACUUUCACUUUGGUUAACAACCUAAGUGAAUGCACGCUUCCAGAGUCCCACUCUGAUGUUUCUUUGUUAAAGGCAAUAAUACUCUUUCAAUUGCUUUGGUUCUGAUCCUGGGAUUUAGUAAUAUCUUAAAGUGACAACCCCUUUGAUUCUUGACCUUUGGAUAUCUACUUCACAAGUCAAUACAUGUGUCCCUUUUGUGAUUUUAUGACACAUUCAUUAUAAGGGUUAUGAAAGUGACUUCCUAUCACAUAGGAAAAUACUUUCUUAAAUCUACAACAUUUGAGAUUUAAUUCCCAUAUAACAUUAUUGAGAUAGCCUUGCUAUAUCAAUAAGUCCAAUUUCAAGUCUAUACUUCAAAAUUGACCGUGUCAUGUUUUGUCAUUUCUCGAGUAACACCUAUGUUUUAUCAAGUCUAUCUAAUAGACUUUAUUCACAUCUUGUUGCUCAAAUUAUGACAUCACUCCCACUGGCCUUGUUGUAACUUAGAAUUCAUUCAAAAAUAACAAUUAUAUUUUCUUGAUUUGAAUGCAUAUUGCUCCCACUAACUUAAAUGAAUCACACACAAAAGAAUUCCUUCUCAAGUAAUUCCUUUUGAAAUGUGUGACUUGUUCCAUUAAGUCUAUCCAUUUAAAUUAUAUGGUGUCAUACACCAUACUUCAAGUUUUAGUCAUACUAAGACCUUUAAUGUAGUCAUAUAAGAAUUAUCCAAGUCUUUAGUGGAAGCAUGGCUCCUACUAAGGAUAUAGAAACUCAACCAUUCCUUCUAGGUGGUUGAUAUAAUUCUUUAUUAAACUACAUAGAGCAAUAUUGUUACAUGAGAUGUUGAAUUUGGUUUGUCUUGUUGUUAAACCAUAUGUUGUGACUCAUUUUGAAACUUAUUCCCUUUUGUUUCAUCAACUUGUCCAUAUGCUUGGUUAUUUAGCUUGUUCUCAUAAAAGAGAAUUAUGGACAACUCCCAACAUAUAACCAUUUUAUGCUAGGUUGACGAAACCAACAUUCAAAGACUAUUCUUUAGAAUGUCACACAACAUAGAAUUUUAACGUUUUGAAGAGCUUGAGUCUUUUAACAAUUAAAAUUGCAAACUCUUAAUAAUAGUCAAAUACUAUUAUUCUUUAGACAACUAUAAACCAAUCAUAUUCAAGUUUAUAUCCAUUUUCACACCUCCCACUAUUUCUCAUGACUUUAAUGAGAAAUCACUUCAUAUAUUCAAAAUGUACGAAAGUGGAGUAUAUUGGAAGAAGACAUUGUGUAGUAGCUUUAAAACAUUUCAAGCUUAUUUGUUUCAAUCUUCACUAAGUUAAUGUCUUGUUAUUAAGUGACUAAAGUCUUUAAACAUUUUAUAGAUUUAGACACUUCUUUCUUGGUUUAAUCACUAACACAAUUGACAUUUUAAAACCUUUUAAAGAAUGCCCAAUUAUUUGUUCAAAACUACUAAUUGAAUCAAGAGUGAUCUUGAUCAUUGUGUUUCAAGUGAUAACCAUACAAGAAACGUUUUCUUAUUACUUAUAUCAUUAUAAUGUGAUCUUCCUUUUCUUCAAGAAAGGAUACUCAAGACUUUUGUCAAUUCAUAUAGAACUCAUAGGUAGACAAAUGGAACCAAAUCCAAAGAUUCAUUGUAUCCUUUUAUGUCCUACAUGUGAGAUCUAUCCAUAAUUGAUAAAUCUAAAGUUUGGUUAUCACAUUACAAUAAGUGAUAUAACUCUUGUGUCUCAACUAUGAUACAACAAGACAAUUUUCAAUUCAUAACACUACUUUAAGGAAAUAGUAUAUUAAAAAAGGCAUUCUUCACAUUACAUUAAUAUGAUAUUUCAAACAUUCAUAAUGUUUAAUACAAAAAGUAUUAGCUCUACACAUUUAGAGACUAAUAUGAAGCCACAUAAAAAGUUCUUAACAAAAUAAGAAAGUUUAAAGACAAUCUUUAAUGCCUAACAAACUUCCUAAGUAGUUAGCAAAAAACAUAGUGGCCGAACCCUUCACCACUUUUUCCUUGCUUGUUCAUCUUCUACUUGGCUUCUCCACCUAUAUACAAUUAUACAAGUGAUUAGCUCUUUAU
rnacentral:lncRNA from 1 species